rnacentral:rRNA from 1 species
CCUACGGGAGGCAGCAGUGGGGAAUAUUGGGCAAUGGAGGAAACUCUGACCCAGCAACGCCGCGUGAAUGAUGAAGGUCUUCGGAUUGUAAAGUUCUUUUCUAAGGGAAGAAGAAAGUGACGGUACCUUAGGAAUAAGCCUCGGCUAACUACGUGCCAGCAGCCGCGGUAAUACGUAGGAGGCAAGCGUUAUCCGGAAUGACUGGGAGUAAAGGGUGCGUAGGUGGUUUGACAAGUUGGUAGCGUAACUCCGAGGCUUAACCUCGGUACUACUACCAAAACUGUUGGACUCGAGUGCAGGAGGGGCAAAUGGAAUUCCUAGUGUAGCGGUGGAAUGCGUAGAUAUUAGGAGGAACACCAGUGGCGAAGGCGAUUUGCUGGACUGUAACUGACACUGAGGCACGAAAGCGUGGGGAGCAAACAGGAUUAGAUACCCCUGUAGUC